CCUGGCGGCAAUAGCAUAUUGGAACCACCCGAUCCCAUCUCGAACUCGGAAGUGAAACGGUAUCGCGCCGAUGGUAGUGUGGGGUUUCCCCAUGUGAGAGUAGGUCACUGCCAGGC
rnacentral:rRNA from 1 species